rnacentral:rRNA from 1 species
GAUGAACGCUAGCGGCAGGCCUAAUACAUGCAAGUCGGACGGGAUUCAGGAGCUUGCUUCUGAUGAGAGUGGCGCACGGGUGCGUAACACGUAUGUAACCUACCUUUAUCAGGGGGAUAGCCUCUCGAAAGAGAGAUUAAGCCCGCAUAAAAUCACAGCACAGCAUUGUGUAAUGAUCAAAUAUUUAUGGGAUAAAGAUGGGCAUGCGGAACAUUAGCUAGAUGGCGGGGUAACGGCCCAGCAUGGCGACGAUGGUUAGGGGAUCUGAGAGGAUGGCCCCCGAGACGGGUACCGAGACACGGACCAGACGGCUACGGGAGGGAGCAGUAAGGAAUAUUGGGGAAUGGGCGGAAGCCUGAACCAGCCAUGCCGGGUGCAGAAAGACGGCGCUAGGGGUUGUAAACUGCUUGUAUACGAGAAUAAUCCCAGAUACGGGUAUCUGGCUGAAGGUACUGUAAGAAUAAGGAUCGGCUAACUCCGUG